rnacentral:rRNA from 1 species
GUAGGGAAUAUUGGGCAAUGGUCGGAAGACUGACCCAACCAUGCCGCGUGCAGGAAGACGGCCCUCUGGGUUGUAAACUGCUUUUAUCUGGGAAGAAAAAGGCCAUGCGUGGCAAAUUGCCGGUACCAGAUGAAUAAGCACCGGCUAACUCCGUGCCAGCAGCCGCGGUAAUACGGAGGGUGCGAGCGUUGUCCGGAUUUAUUGGGUUUAAAGGGUGCGUAGGCGGCUGAUUAAGUCAGCGGUGAAAGACUUCGGCUUAACCGGAGCAGUGCCGUUGAUACUGGUUGGCUUGAGUGUCGGAGGGGUACAUGGAAUUGAUGGUGUAGCGGUGAAAUGCAUAGAUACCAUCAGGAACACCGAUAGCGAAGGCAUUGUACUGGCCGACAACUGACGCUGAUGCACGAAAGUGUGGGGAUCGAACAGGAUUAGAAACCCCAGUAGUCC